AAUGCUUUGAUGAAAAGGGAUUGGUCUAUCACAUCACCCCGGAAGAUGGACGGGGCCCGGACAAAAACAUCCACCGCUCAGAGCUGAGGGUGUUGCCCUCCCAGGCCCCACAGUCAAUCCAAGCGCCCUCAGACCAGCUAGUAAGUGACAUGAGUAAUGAGGGGAGUAGAAGUCCAGGUAGUGACAAGGAAGAGGAGGCAGUAUGGAUCCACUUGCUACCUCAUCCACAAUCCGAGGCCAUACCCAAGGAUAUACCAGAGCAUGCCGGGACUUGGAACCAGCCACAAACACUCACCUUCCGGUCCCAAACAGAUGGCACUCAAGAGAACCAAACCCCGCCAGAGGUAGACAUUGGUGCAAACUGGACCCUCCCAAACACGGAACAGGAACGUUCCCAAGGUCCAAGCAGCCCUCAGGAAGACCCAUCAAGACGGCCGAGGCGAACACAAGCCGGCCAGCACUCAAACCCCUUUCGGUUGCCUCGGUCUGCCACCCAACAGCUGGAGACUCAACAACACUCCAUUUCUUAUGUCUCUCCAAACUGCUAUUAUAGGCCUUGGGAUUAACAGGCACCGGGACGGUGGCCUUUUAAAGUAGGGGGAAUAUGUGACGGGUGGAAGGGGUUGCCCUUAGCAGGUGUACAGCCCGUCACCUGAUUGUGCCUGGUGCACGUGACGUGACGUUACACGGUAGCUCACAGUGACCCGCACUUCCUAUUUGUUUUAAAUGCCAUUCACGCGGCAAACGCAGCAUGUUUGGUUUGGCUCUGUCGGCGGUGAAUAUUAAGCACAAUACGGAUCUGCUUGUUCGUUGGAAUAUAACGCCAGUAGGAUUGUGAAGUGUUGCCUCUAACAGACGAACAGUUUUCACACCUACAACGCAUUUGGAACACUGGCGUCUUAACAUCGCAUGCGGGAUUUUAUGAGGAACACUGUAUAUCACUGUUUUUCCCAUAGCUAAUUUAUGAUGAGACAAGCACUUGAAUUGAGCUAC